UAGGGAAUCUUCCGCAAUGGGCGAAAGCCUGACGGGGCAACGCCGCGUGAGUGAUGAAGGUCUUCGGAUCGUAAAACUCUGUUAUUAGGGAAGAACAAAUGUGUAAGUAACUAUGCACGUCUUGACGGUACCUAAUCAGAAAGCAACGGCUAACUACGUGCCAGCAGCCGCGGUAAUACGUAGGUGGCAAGCGUUAUCCGGAAUUAUUGGGCGUAAAGCGCGCGUAGGCGGUUUUUUAAGUCAGCUGUGAAAGCCCACGGCUCAACCGUGGAGGGUCAUUGGAAACUGGAAAGCUUGAGUGCAGAAGAGGAAAGUGGAAUUCCAUGUGUAGCGGUGAAAUGCGCAGAGAUAUGGAGGAACACCAGUGGCGAAGGCUACUUUCUGGUCUGUAACUGACGCUGAUGUGCGAAAGCGUGGGGAUCAAACAGG
rnacentral:rRNA from 1 species